GGAAUGGCUAGAGUGUCAGAAUAAGACCUAGGAGACCAGGGUUCAAAUGCCCACUCAUCCAGGAAAUUCGCUGGGUGACCUUGGGCCAGGCAUAGUCACACAGCCUAACCUACCUCACAGGGUUGUUGUGGGGAUUAAAUAAGGAUGGGGAGAACCAUGUGCGUUGAAGUGGCAUUUGCCUAUUCGUUUAGAGCCUGUCUGUACAGGGGGGAAAGAAAGAGUUAAAAAUGUAGACCAAUAGGAAAGCUGGAGGCGGAGCCUACAUGUGUAUAAUAGGGCUUAGCCCGAGGUUUGUUAGAGUUGUUGGUGGGUUGGUUGUAGUGGGUUGGCUGGUUGGGAAAGGCAGUUGGAGAAGCAGUUGGCAGGCAGUUGGAAAUAGAGAGACAGGGCAGUGGGUUCUUGAGUGAGGGGAGGUAGAAGAGAUAGAGAGAGGAAAACAAGACUAAGAAAGUAAAGAGUAACAACGUUUGGAAUGCCGGAAAACCAAGAAGACAAGGAUUCCCUCACAACGUAGCUUUUUAAAGUCUGGUCGCUGAUUGAGCUUUCAUCAAAUAAGAGGCCUGAAGAGAGUUAAGAUUUAGAUGUUUCAGGGCUUCUCAGGAGAAAGAAAAGGAGGGCGAAGAGAAAGCUGUGGACGGCAGUUACAAAGAUGCUCAAGGCGGUGAGCAAAAGAUGAUCCCAUUUAUACAAAAACCCACUCUGUGAAGCAAGUUGGAUGGAGAGAUGCAACAUAACCCACAGCCACCCAGGGAUCGUUGCGGUGGAGCACAGCAGGAAUUUGAACCUGGGUUCAAUGUGAAUAUUUAGGUGGAUUUGAAAACAUUCCUGUUCACCCAGGCAUUUGAUGGCUGGAAGAUCUUGUUACUGGCAACCUUGAAAUUAUUUAGUGAUUUUGCGGGAGGCAGUGGAAGACAGGAGUGCCUGGCGUGCUCUGGUCCAUGGAGUCACAAAGAGUCGGACACGACUAAACGACUAACAACGACAACAAAAAGGUGGAAACAGGACAGAAGAGGCUUGUAGGAAAUGUCCGCCCCUACAUAGUUCACAAGUUGUGCAGGCGCACUGGCUCAUGAUAAUUUCCGGUCAACAACAAUGUUGAAAGGCAACCAAAUUUCAAAUUUCCCUCUCCCUCCAUUUUGUCUUCGUGGAGCUUUGAGCUUGUGAAAGAUGCAAACCAAAUUGGGGAGCGAAGAUGCAGUGCUUUGUUCUCUGGGGAAUUUACCUCAGCAGAAGCAACUGGAGAGUUCACACUUCUCCAAAGUGCUGCACCAGCACCAGCUGAGUUGAGUUGAGGAGGAAAAAGGGAGGAGGGGUUUCUGUCUCCAAACUAUUUCAGUCCUGGCCACCGUUCACUUUUGCUGAGUAUGCCAAAUAUGAUGGCUGAUUGAAUCCCUUGGAAGUUACAUUGGAGACCACCAAAGACUUGAUGAACAUCAAAUAGCAAUUAGGCUGUGAACCUUUGGUUACACUCAAGCUGAGCUGAAUUUCAGCCAAAAAACUGAAGGAUGGGAAGCUAUACGUCCCAUUACCCAUCUCUAGAGUCAUUCAGUUUCCCAAGACAGAGCGCGGGUCUUCCCCACCAAGAGCUAAUCAUUAGUUCAGUGAGAUUCCUUCUGGGAUUAUAACAGAGACAAGUGGUCCUACAAGUAGUCUCCUUUUUAUCCAGUUGCUUAUAUUGUGGAAGUCUAAAAUAAUUAGUCUGCUGUAAUGAGAGACCUGUCCCUCUUUUUCUCCUUUUUACAAUCUUAAGUUCACUUCUCCACAUUUCCACAUCAGUUUGCAUUUAAAAUCCUCUUUAAAAUUUCUCAGCAAUUUAGCCAAGUAUUUUUGUGUGUGUGUGCAAGCACUAUCUUUCUAUUAUAAUGUAUUUUAAUAAGCUAAU